rnacentral:rRNA from 1 species
AUUGAACGCUGGCGGCAGGCCUAACACAUGCAAGUCGAGCGGGGUUUUCGGACCUAGCGGCGGACGGGUGAGUAAUGCGUAGGAAGCUGCCCGAUAGAGGGGGAUACCAGUUGGAAACGACUGUUAAUACCGCAUAAUGUCUACGGACCAAAGUGUGGGACCUUCGGGCCACAUGCUAUCGGAUGCGCCUACGUGGGAUUAGCUAGUUGGUGAGGUAAUGGCUCACCAAGGCGACGAUCUCUAGCUGGUUUGAGAGGAUGAUCAGCCACACUGGAACUGAGCAACGGUCCAGAGUCCUACGGGAGGCAGCGGUGGGGAAUAUUGGACAAUGGGCGCAAGCCUGAUCCAGCCAUGCCGCGUGUGUGAAGAAGGCCUUCGGGUUGUAAAGCACUUUCAGCGAGGAGGAAGGGUGGUGUGUUAAUAGCACAUCAUUUUGACGUUACUCGCAGAAGAAGCACCGGCUAACUCUGUGCCAGCCGCCGCCGUAACAC